CCUACGGGGGGCAGCAGUGAGGAAUAUUGGUCAAUGGGCGCGAGCCUGAACCAGCCAAGCAGCGUGAAGGAUGACUGCCCUACGGGUUGUAAACUUCUUUUAUAAAGGAAUAAAGUCAGGCACGUGUGCCUGUUUGAAUGUACUUUAUGAAUAAGCAUCGGCUAACUCCGUGCCAGCAGCCGCGGUAAUACGGCGGAUCCGAGCGUUAUCCGGAUUUAUUGGGUUUAAAGGGAGCGUAGAUGGGUUGUUAAGUCAGGUGUGAAAGCUUGCGGCUCAACCGUGAAACUGCAAUUGAUACUGGCAGUCUUGAGUACAGGUGAGGUAGGCGGAAUGCGUGGUGUAGCGGUGAAAUGCAUAGAUAUCACGAAGAACUCCGAUUGCGAAGGCAGCUUACUAAACUGCCACUGACACUGAGGCUCGAAAGUGUGGGUAUCAAACAGGAUUAGAUACCCUUGUAGUC
rnacentral:rRNA from 1 species